UUUACCGGACAAGGUAGUCCCGACCGUAAGGCCUCCGACCACAGUGUGAGCCGCUUGUGAAGUUACUACCAAUGAGGAGGACAUGCUACAAGUUUUAACCUAACUCACUCCGUUUUCUGGAUUAACUUUGAAUGAAAAGUAGAAGCAAAUAUGCAUAUGAGGACCUGCAGAAAAUAACUUCUGAACCGGAUCAAUUACAAGCCAUACCCUUGGACGACAACUACAUCCUAACCACCAAGGGUUUCAACACCUGUUCACUAUUUCAACUGAUGAGACUUACUACAAAGUUUGGACUUGAUCACUACGGCUGCUUGAUUGGAGGAGGAGGAUGACUGUCCUGCAGCAGCAACCACAGAUGAAGCUCUCUGGGCUCUGAUUUGGUCUUCUGCGGGCCGUGGCGACCAGCAGAGCAGAGAAAUUGCCUGUUAUCUAGGGGGUCGAUUCUUCAUGGGGUCCCGUAAAUUGCUUUGUAUUGACACCCUGUCAAGUGUUGGGAUCCUCAUGUUAACCCCAAGAUCUGCCCUGGAGUGAGGAAAAUGUCUCUCCAGAGACCAACAGCAUGCUGCCACUCUUCCUGAGGUGUCAGAAUGAUGUUUCCUCCAAACAAAGUGAUGACAUCCUGUCUGUGAUUUAGACCGCCUGCAUAGAUUCACACUGGAUGUAGUGGACAGGUUUGGCCUCAUAAAUCAAAUAAAAAGCUCAGGUGGACUUGGGAAUAA